UACGUAGGUGGCAAGCGUUGUCCGGAUUUACUGGGCGUAAAGGGCGUGCAGGCGGUUUGUUUAGUCUAGGGUGAAAGCUCCCGGCUUAACUGGGAGAGGUCCUUGGAUACUGGCAAACUUGAGGGAGGCAGAGGAAAGUGGAGUUCCCGGUGUAGUGGUGAUAUGCGUAGAUAUCGGGAGGAACACCAGUGGCGAAGGCGGCUUUCUGGGCCUUACCUGACGCUGAGACGCGAAAGCGUGGGGAGCGAACCGG
rnacentral:rRNA from 1 species